GUGCAGUGGUACAAUCUCAGCUCACUGCAAUCUUUGCCUCCCAAGCUCAAGUGAUUCUCCUGCCUCAGCUUCCCAAAGUAGCUGGGAUUAUAGAUAGCCCCAGGUGAUGCCCUGGCUGACAGCCCACAUUAACCAGGAGAUACUUGAGCAAGAAAACCUUUGACAGUAUUCUAACUCCAUACUGUUUAAAGGCAACCACAUCCUGAGCCAGAACUGCCUAGGAGGCAGAGGCUGGGCCUAGAAGGGCCUACCACAGGCAGGAGCCAGGCCUGGACAAGCCCACAAGAGGAGGCUUUGGGCCUGGAGAGGCCACUGACAGGCAGGAUCUGGGCCUGGAGAGGCCAACAUCAGGACCAUUUGGCCCUGACCAGGCCACUGGGAGGAGGCUGGAGCCAGGCCAAGAGA
rnacentral:lncRNA from 1 species